GAUGAAGAACGUAGCAAAUUGCGAUAUGUAAUGUGAAUUGCAGAUUUUCAGUGAAUCAUCGAAUCUUUGAACGCACAUUGCGCCCCCUGGCAUUCCGGGGGGCAUGCCUGUCCGAGCGUCAUUUCUGCCCUCAAGCACGGCUUGUGUGUUGGGUGUGGUCCCCCCGGGGACCUGCCCGAAAGGCAGCGGCGACGUCUGUCUGGUCCUCGAGCGUAUGGGGCUCUGUCACUCGCUCGGGAAGGACCUGCGGGGGUUGGUCACCACUAUAUUUUACCACGGUUGACCUCGGAUCAGGUAGGAGUUACCCGCUGAACUUAAGCAUAUCAAUAAGCGGAGGA
rnacentral:misc_RNA from 1 species